GAUGAACGCUGGCGGCGUGCCUAAUACAUGCAAGUCGAGCGAAGCGGGGACGGGUGAGUAACACGUGGCUACCCUCCUAUAAGAUUGGGAUAACUUCGGGAUACCGGAGCUAAACCGGAUCCUUUUAGAUGGAUCCUCGCUGCAUUAGAUAGUUGGUAAGGUAACGGCUUACCAAGGCAACGAUGCAUAGCCGACCUGAGAGAGGGGUAGGCGACACUGGAACUGAGACACGGUCCAGACGCCUACGGGAGGCAGCGGUAGGGAAUCUUCCGCAAUGGGCGAAAGCCUGACGGAGCAACGCCGCGUGAGUGAUGAAGGUCUUCAAAUCGUAAAACUCUGUUAUUAGGGAAGCGGUACCUAAUCAGAAAGCCACGGCUAACUACGUGCCAGCAGCCGCGGUAAUAC
rnacentral:rRNA from 1 species